rnacentral:rRNA from 1 species
UACGUAGGGUGCGAGCGUUAAUCGGAAUUACUGGGCGUAAAGCGUGCGCAGGCGGUUGUGCAAGACAGGUGUGAAAUCCCCGGGCUUAACCUGGGAACUGCACUUGGGACUGCAAGGCUGGAGUACGGCAGAGGGGGAUGGAAUUCCGCGUGUAGCAGUGAAAUGCGUAGAUAUGCGGAGGAACACCGAUGGCGAAGGCAAUCCCCUGGGCCUGCACUGACGCUCAUGCGCGAAAGCGUGGGGAGCAAACAGG